UAAAAGAUAAGCUAAAUAAAGCUUUUGGGCUCAUACCUCAACUAUGAAUAAAUAAUUCUCUUUUUA
rnacentral:tRNA from 1 species